UAGGGAAUCUUCGGCAAUGGGGGCAACCCUGACCGAGCAACGCCGCGUGAGUGAAGAAGGUUUUCGGAUCGUAAAGCUCUGUUGUAAGAGAAGAACGAGUGUGAGAGUGGAAAGUUCACACUGUGACGGUAUCUUACCAGAAAGGGACGGCUAACUACGUGCCAGCAGCCGCGGUAAUACGUAGGUCCCGAGCGUUGUCCGGAUUUAUUGGGCGUAAAGCGAGCGCAGGCGGUUAGAUAAGUCUGAAGUUAAAGGCUGUGGCUUAACCAUAGUACGCUUUGGAAACUGUUUAACUUGAGUGCAAGAGGGGAGAGUGGAAUUCCAUGUGUAGCGGUGAAAUGCGUAGAUAUAUGGAGGAACACCGGUGGCGAAAGCGGCUCUCUGGCUUGUAACUGACGCUGAGGCUCGAAAGCGUGGGGAGCAAACAGGAUUGGAUACCCUGGUAGUCCACGCCGUAAACGAUGAGUGCUAGGUGUUAGACCCUUUCCGGGGUUUAGUGCCGUAGCUAACGCAUUAAGCACUCCGCCUGGGGAGUACGACCGCAAGGUUG
rnacentral:rRNA from 1 species